rnacentral:rRNA from 1 species
GAUGAACGCUGGCGGCGUGCCUAAUACAUGCAAGUCGAGCGAACGGACGAGAAGCUUGCUUCUCUGAUGUUAGCGGCGGACGGGUGAGUAACACGUGGAUAACCUACCUAUAAGACUGGGAUAACUUCGGGAAACCGGAGCUAAUACCGGAUAAUAUUUUGAACCGCAUGGUUCAAAAGUGAAAGACGGUCUUGCUGUCACUUAUAGAUGGAUCCGCGCUGCAUUAGCUAGUUGGUAAGGUAACGGCUUACCAAGGCAACGAUGCAUAGCCGACCUGAGAGGGUGAUCGGCCACACUGGAACUGAGACACGGUCCAGACUCCUACGGGAGGCAGCAGUAGGGAAUCUUCCGCAAUGGGCGAAAGCCUGACGGAGCAACGCCGCGUGAGUGAUGAAGGUCUUCGGAUCGUAAAACUCUGUUAUUAGGGAAGAACAUAUGUGUAAGUAACUGUGCACAUCUUGACGGUACCUAAUCAGAAAGCCACGGCUAACUACGUGCCAGCAGCCGCGGUAAUACGUAGGUGGCAAGCGUUAUCCUGAAUUAUUGGGCGUAAAGCGCGCGUAGGCGGUUUUUUAAGUCUGAUGUGAAAGCCCACGGCUCAACCGUGGAGGGUCAUUGGAAACUGGAAAACUUGAGUGCAGAAGAGGAAAGUGGAAUUCCAUGUGUAGCGGUGAAAUGCGCAGAGAUAUGGAGGAACACCAGUGGCGAAGGCGACUUUCUGGUCUGUAACUGACGCUGAUGUGCGAAAGCGUGGGGAUCAAACAGGAUUAGAUACCCUGGUAGUCCACGCCGUAAACGAUGAGUGCUAAGUGUUAGGGGGUUUCCGCCCCUUAGUGCUGCAGCUAACGCAUUAAGCACUCCGCCUGGGGAGUACGACCGCAAGGUUGAAACUCAAAGGAAUUGACGGGGACCCGCACAAGCGGUGGAGCAUGUGGUUUAAUUCGAAGCAACGCGAAGAACCUUACCAAAUCUUGACAUCCUUUGACAACUCUAGAGAUAGAGCCUUCCCCUUCGGGGGACAAAGUGACAGGUGGUGCAUGGUUGUCGUCAGCUCGUGUCGUGAGAUGUUGGGUUAAGUCCCGCAACGAGCGCAACCCUUAAGCUUAGUUGCCAUCAUUAAGUUGGGCACUCUAAGUUGACUGCCGGUGACAAACCGGAGGAAGGUGGGGAUGACGUCAAAUCAUCAUGCCCCUUAUGAUUUGGGCUACACACGUGCUACAAUGGACAAUACAAAGGGCAGCGAAACCGCGAGGUCAAGCAAAUCCCAUAAAGUUGUUCUCAGUUCGGAUUGUAGUCUGCAACUCGACUACAUGAAGCUGGAAUCGCUAGUAAUCGUAGAUCAGCAUGCUACGGUGAAUACGUUCCCGGGUCU